GACGGAGGAUGCAAGUGUUAUCCGGAAUCACUGGGCGUAAAGCGUCUGUAGGUGGUUUAAUAAGUCAACUGUUAAAUCUUGAGGCUCAACCUCAAAAUCGCAGUCGAAACUAUUAGGCUAGAGUAUAGUAGGGGUAAAGGGAAUUUCCAGUGGAGCGGUGAAAUGCGUAGAGAUUGGAAAGAACACCGGUGGCGAAGGCGCUCUGCUAGGCCGCAACUGACACUGAGGGACGAAAGCUAGGGGAGCGAAUGGG
rnacentral:rRNA from 1 species